rnacentral:lncRNA from 1 species
AUUUUCUGGCUACAGCUGCCUGUGAAUCCUAUGAAGUCCUGAUGUUUGUUUUUCCUGAGUGACACAACAGAAUCUGCGAGGAAUGGAGAAAGCUGUCUCUUCUUCUUCAUCAGAGCAGCAAAGAGCGCAUCGGUGUGAUGGAGGCAAAACCGUGUUAAUGACACUGGAGCCAAACAAAGAAGAUUUUUCUGCCCUUGGGUGCCCCCAAGGUGAACAGAGAAUAGCUGCUUUUGUUAAAGAUGCAAAAAUGCCUCUGGAGAGUGCAGCUUUAUCGGGGACAUCAGUGGAAGGGGGGACUGAUCUCAAGGAGGCUGCCUUCUAUGCUUCCGACAACGUGGCAGCAAUGAACAGAGAUGGGAGAGGGAAUUCGGGUGCUGAUGACAUGUGCAGCCGUAAGAAGGAUCCCACUUUUUUCUUGCCUCUAGCCCGCCAGGAGCCAGACGUUGGUUUGGAAGCACACAACGUGGCAGGUGAAUAGCUCCAAGAUCUUUCCACUUGUGAUACUGAGAGUUUUGGAGCUGGAGGGAGUCUGAUGACGACACAGCCAUGCUGAACAGUUCCUGUUCUAGUUUGUUUGAGCUUAUACAUUUGUUGGGGCAACCAGAAGAGAAUCCAGAAGAGAAACCUCAGCCUGAACCAAUCUACACGGGAGGUCCACUUCCUAGACACCACGGUACAAAUAAGUGACGGUCACGUUAACACCACCCUAUAUCAAAAACCCACCGACCGCUAUGCCUACCUUGAGUUAAUUGGUAAUUUAGCAACAUGGUAAUGAUCUUCAAGUUCAGCACCACAGACAGGGAUGUAAAAUUCAGUGGCAGUAGUGAACUGAUAGCUCUUGGGAGUUCUGCUUGCCACAGUCAAAACUACCUGCUCAAUUCAUGAAUCUUAGACUUGUCAGAUCCAUUAAAUGGUGCUGGUCAGAUGCUGAAAUGCCAGUGGCACUUGGUAAUUUAGUGAUCUGUAUGUAAACCGUGUAAAAAAUGUAACUGUUUUCUUGCAACAUACCCAGAGGAUUACUAUGCUAUUUUAAAGUGCAGUGUCUCUAUGUAUAAAACACGUACCAACAAUCCUGCAUUGAAACAACAAGGAGUCCGGUGGCACUUUAAAGACUAACAGACUUAUUUGGGCAUAAGCUUUUGUGGGUAAGCUUCUUCAGAUGUAUGGAGUGAAAUUUACAGAUGCAGGCAUUAUAUAAUGACACAUGAAUCCUGCAUUGGGAGACCUAAUUAGGCCCUUUGCACAUCUGUGGAUUGCAAUACUUCCCACUUGUUCUCCUUGUACCAGUCCAGAGCUGUGAGGAUAGACUCCUCUGCCAGCAGGUGGAAAUAGGAACCCUGGAGAAUUUGGAGUGAUUUCUUCCUUUGCUAAGUGGAGUUCAUAGGCACAAAAUAUUCUGUUGGUUACAG